AACUCAUUAAACGAGGCUCUCCAUAGGCCAUCAUUAGAGCUCCCAUGGACGGCUCGAGGAACCACCACUACUUCAGCAGCUCUCUCGAGAAGUGAUAUCAAGACAACCGAAGCACCAUCCCCAGAAGAGCUUCCAAUAGGACGCAGAGGUGGCUGCUCUGAAGAACAAACCACAGCUGCAAGGCAAGCACUCAGCGCUCGGAGGUCCAUAGCUUGAACACAGACCGUGACUGCCUUGGCAAGAUUAGCAAUCGUCUCUGCUGCUAGAGUAUCCGAAGGCAAGCCGCCGAAGAGAAACCUCAAGUGGCGGAAUAUAGCCAUACAGACAACUCGAGCAAUCUCAGUGCCUGGAACUAGAAGCUGUAUGUACUUCGUAAGCAUUUUCCGACCCUUUGGAAGAGUUGCUAUACGCAGAAACACAACAUCAUCCUUAGCAGUCAGCCCUGACUUCUGACCGGUUUUGCUGAACGGAUCAGCAAGCUGAAGUGCCGUCGCUAGACCUUCAAGGAGGAUCUGGCGUUUUCUCUUCACCUGAGCGCCUCCGUCUUGAGGCCUUGUGGACUGGAGAGUCCUGUCAAUGUCAACUAUGUCGAUAAGAACUCCUAGAGCAUCUUCAAUUGUAACCCUAGCUGCCACAAGUGGUUCCUGCUCCAAAUGUUUCCCUGAGCCCUUUUGAUCAUUAGAACCAGGAGAAGAAGAAGAGUCAACCUCAAGCAAGGCACGUGGCCUGCGAAUAUAGGGAAGCGUGAUCUUCCCAAGAGCAUCUACAUGAACUUGUUGUUGAUGCUGUUCAGAACUAUUAUUACGGGACUUAGGUUGGUGGUGGUGGUCUUUCAACUGAGAAGGGUAGAAGAGAGUGAUUGCUCUACUAGAUCCAGAAGACUUCUUGGCAAGGCGAGCUUGGUGGUAAUAAUCAUUGACAUAAGGAUCGUUGCUGUGUGAAUUAGAGUGCUGCAUCUUGAGUAUACUCUCUAUUUCCUCUGAAGUCAUGUACUUUGAUCUAAACUGCAAUCCACUCUCGCUUUUCUGACUAGCUGCGUCUGAUGCCUGUUGAGAUAUGCCUUUGUUCUUUCGACUCCUAUGAGAAGACUUAUGCUUGUGUUGUUCCCUAACUUCACCACCCCCAAAAGAGACUUUACGUGAUGGUGAUGGAUAAGACCUGUACAGCUGAGACUGUAGCGCUGCAAGCUGAGCAUACGAUUGUCUCUGCUGGAGAGCCAUCAUAUGUUGCGACAUAAGAUCAAUUCGAGGAGGGAAUUGUUGUUGUUGCGCCAGACUAUGUAAUAAACCAGAAUGAUCUCCGUGGAGAAGACCAGGAUCAGUGACCCAAUGAGGUUGCACAACGUUACCAAGGGUAGGACCACACGAGGCAUAUCUAGCCAAAUUACCACCAUAGUGAGGCCCGUGUGAGGGUCCUGAAAGAUGAAAUCUAGAGUUUGACAGCGGGGAAGGUGGGGUGAAAUUCAUCUGAGAACCGCUGGGAAGAGAAGGAGCGCGGUGGAGGCUUCCAGGUGAAGUCUGCUGAGAUCUGCUGCCUGGCGGGGGAAAGGAGGUGAAAGUUGAUUCUGGUACAAUGAUCGGUUCACUAUUGUAGUGUUGCAACGGUGGUGGCUGCUGAGGGUAAGAGGAUGUCCUGUAUAAAGGUUGUGAAUGAGCAGAUGACUGUGGCUGCGAGGACCAUCUGUUAGCCUCUUGAUCUUGCUCGUCCAACCAGUUUGUGAGCUCUGUAUCGUGAGUCCAAUCGGUGGCAGAAGAACCUAAAGAUGAAGUACAUUCAGGUUAAGAAGAACCCUAAAGGUAUACAGUAUACAGUAGUAAGCAAGUUAAGAAUUAAACUCACUCUCUCUUGAAAAGGAACCAGAUCCUCUGUCACCAAUAACUCCAAGGUGUUUGGGUCCUGUGACAUUUCUAUUUAGCUACACAAAGAAAAUAAGUAGAUUUAGAAUCACUAACAAACAAGAGUUCAAAGCUGAAGAACAAGAACAGGUAUAACAUGGCAGUUAAAGAUAUUAAGAUCACUAAAAAAGCAGUUUUUGCAACAAAAAAGAAGUUAAAAAAACCUUUGCAAAAGUCGUGGCAAGAUCAUCCAUGUCAGAUAAUGACCCUAAACCUGCACCCUGCAAUAAUCAACAUGUAUGUAUUAGUAAAACAUCAUCACGUGGUAGCUUUCAGAAGAGAAAACACAUUACCUCUCCUUUAUUAAACAAGUGAUACUCGUCAUCAUCAGGAGAAGUAUGUCCAAGAACAGGAGCGACCACUUCGUCAUCGUCAAUGCCUCCUAAUGACAUUUCGUCAAGGUUUUGCCCAAAAAACUCAUACUGAGAUGCAUCAAAGAGCUUACUAUUUGAAUCUGCAGAUACAAAACACAGCCAGUUUCAGCAGACAAUGCCACAAACACAUGGACUUAAAGCUCUAAGACUUUCAAUCAAAGGGAUAACAACAACAAAAGCAAAACUCAAAAAAAAAAAAAAAAGAGAGAAGCUUUUUAGUAUUCAAAAAGGUUUGAUCAUUCAUGAAAUUGGAGAACAAGAAGAACAACUACACAAAAAAAAAAAAAACAAAACCCAUACAGACAUAAUCUACAGGAAAACACAAGACCAGACAGAAGACAAUUAGCAUAAAUUUCAUCCCUUUAUGUGCUUUUCUCACUCGUAAAACGAACCACAAAGCAACACGGAUCUCAGCUAACAACACAAAGAGAAGAAAGAAACAUCCUUUCGAUGAGAUAAAAAGGGAGUGACCUGAGGAAGAGCGAACAAAGUUGUACAAGUCCCUGGAAUCAGAUCUCUCCAUGAUCGGAGGAUAAAAAGAGCGAAACUUUAGAAAUUAGAGGAUGCGAGAGAAGGAAGAGAAGUCGUAUUCCUUCGCGCUAGGGUUUUCCCAGAUGGGGACGCGGAGAGAGAGAGAAUGAUCAACCCAUCACAGAUUCAGAGUUGAUCUGACCACCCCUUGCAUGCGACGCAGACUCACUAACGGCCGACGGUUUACGACCAAAGUUUAACAAAUAGUUCCUCUGGUCGUCAUUGGUAUGACGGAGGCUCGCACGUAAAAGCUCAGCGGGCAUUUCUCUCUUUAUCGCCAGCUCCAAAACAUCCGCUGCACUCCCUUGGUUCUGCCUACGGAUCGUCUCAUACUUGCUCCUGCAGUAUUUAGUAAGCAGGUUGAAGAACUCAUUAAACGAGGCUCUCCAUAGGCCAUCAUUAGAGCUCCCAUGGACGGCUCGAGGAACCACCACUACUUCAGCAGCUCUCUCGAGAAGUGAUAUCAAGACAACCGAAGCACCAUCCCCAGAAGAGCUUCCAAUAGGACGCAGAGGUGGCUGCUCUGAAGAACAAACCACAGCUGCAAGGCAAGCACUCAGCGCUCGGAGGUCCAUAGCUUGAACACAGACCGUGACUGCCUUGGCAAGAUUAGCAAUCGUCUCUGCUGCUAGAGUAUCCGAAGGCAAGCCGCCGAAGAGAAACCUCAAGUGGCGGAAUAUAGCCAUACAGACAACUCGAGCAAUCUCAGUGCCUGG
rnacentral:lncRNA from 1 species